rnacentral:rRNA from 1 species
AUUGAACGCUGGCGGCAUGCCUUACACAUGCAAGUCGAACGGCAGCACGGGUGCUUGCACCUGGUGGCGAGUGGCGAACGGGUGAGUAAUACAUCGGAACGUACCUUAUCGUGGGGGAUAACGCAGCGAAAGCUGUGCUAAUACCGCAUACGCCCUGAGGGGGAAAGCGGGGGAUCGCAAGACCUCGCGCGAUUAGAGCGGCCGAUGCCUGAUUAGCUUGUUGGUGGGGUAAAAGCCCACCAAGGCGACGAUCAGUAGCUGGUCUGAGAGGACGAGCAGCCACACUGGGACUGAGACACGGCCCAGACUCCUACGGGAGGCAGCAGUGGGGAAUUUUGGACAAUGGGGGCAACCCUGAGCCAGCAAUGCCGCGUGAGUGAAGAAGGCCUUCGGGUUGUAAAGCUCUUUUGUCAGGGAAGAAACACCGGCUCUAACACAGUCCGGGAAUGACGGUACCUGAAGAAUAAGCACCGGCUAACUACGUGCCAGCAGCCGCAGUAA